rnacentral:rRNA from 1 species
UACGUAGGGCGCAAGCGUUGUCCGGAAUUAUUGGGCGUAAAGAGCUCGUAGGCGGUCUGUUAAGUCGAACGUGAAAUCCCUGGGCUCAACCCAGGAACUGCGUCCGAUACUGGCAGGCUUGAAUCCGGGAGAGGGAUGCGGAAUUCCAGGUGUAGCGGUGAAAUGCGUAGAUAUCUGGAGGAACACCGGUGGCGAAGGCGGCAUCCUGGACCGGCAUUGACGCUGAGGCGCGAAAGCCAGGGGAGCAAACGGG